rnacentral:rRNA from 1 species
AGCAGCCGCGGUAAUUCCAGCUCCAAUAGCGUAUAUUAAAGUUGUUGCAGUUAAAAAGCUCGUAGUUGAAUUUCGGGAUCAAUAUAUCGGUCAUGCUUAGGUAUGUACUGGUAUUAUUGAUUUCUCCCUUCUGAAGAACCAUGAUGUCAUUAAUUUGAUGUCGUGGGGAAUCAGGACUGUUACUUUGAAAAAUUAGAGUGUUUAAAGCAGGCAUACGCUUGAAUACAUUAGCAUGGAAUAAUGAAAUAGGACGUUUGAUUCUAUUUUGUUGGUUUCUAGGAUCGACGUAAUGAUUAAUAGGGAUAGUUGGGGGCAUUAGUAUUCAAUUGUCAGAGGUGAAAUUCUUGGAUUUAUUGAAGACUAACUACUGCGAAAGCAUUUGCCAAGGAUGUUUUCAUUAAUCAAGAACGAAAGUUAGGGGAUCGAAGACGAUCAGAUACCGUCGUAGUCUUAACCAUAAACUAUGCCGACUAGGGAUCGGAUGAUGUUAAUUUUUUAANGACUCU